CACGUAGGGCGCAAGCGUUGUCCGGAAUUAUUGGGCGUAAAGAGCUCGUAGGCGGUCUGUUGCGUCCGCUGUGAAAACCCGGGGCUUAACCCUGGGCUGGCAGUGGAUACGGACAGACUAGAGGUAGGUAGGGGAGAAUGGAAUUCCCGGUGUAGCGGUGAAAUGCGCAGAUAUCGGGAGGAACACCGGUGGCGAAGGCAGGUCUCUGGGCUGACACUGACGCUCAUGCACGAAAGCGUGGGGAGCAAACAGG
rnacentral:rRNA from 1 species